rnacentral:rRNA from 1 species
UACGUAGGGUGCGAGCGUUAAUCGGAAUUACUGGGCGUAAAGCGUGCGCAGACGGUUACAUAAGUCGGGUGUGAAAGCCCCGGGCUCAACCUGGGAAUUGCAUUCGAGACUGCGUAGCUAGGGUGCGGAAGAGGGAAGCGGAAUUUCCGGUGUAGCGGUGAAAUGCGUAGAUAUCGGAAGGAACACCAGUGGCGAAAGCGGCUUCCUGGUCCAGCACCGACGUUCAGGCACGAAAGCGUGGGGAGCAAACAGG